rfam:Felis catus isolate Cinnamon breed Abyssinian chromosome F2, whole genome shotgun sequence.
GUCUGGGUGGCUCAGUCGGUUAAGCAUCCGACUUCGACUCAGGACAUGAUCUCACGGUUUGUGGGUUCAAGCCCCACAUCGGGCU